rnacentral:rRNA from 1 species
UACGGAGGGUGCAAGCGUUAUCCGGAUUCACUGGGUUUAAAGGGUGCGUAGGUGGAUUGGUAAGUCCGUGGUGAAAUCCCUGAGCUUAACUCAGGAACUGCCGUGGAUACUAUCAAUCUUGAAUACUGUGGAGGUAAGCGGAAUAUGUCAUGUAGCGGUGAAAUGCGUAGAGAUCCGGAGGAACACCGAAGGCGAAGGCAGUCUCCUGGCAAGUUACUGACGCUCAGGUGCGAAAGCUAGGGGAGCGAACAGG